UUAUUAGACUUGUUGCAAGGAUGUUCUAAUAAGUCUGAUACGGUCAUGAUAUAACAUGCACGAAUGUUACAAGGUUGACGACACAAGGUUGUAACAAUAUUGUUAUAUCAUGACUGUAUCGGACUUGUCGGAAUAACCUCGCAACAAGUCUGAUAA
rnacentral:miRNA from 1 species